UACGUAGGGUGCGAGCGUUGUCCGGAAUUAUUGGGCGUAAAGGGCUCGUAGGCGGUUUGUCACGUCGGGAGUGAAAACUCGGGGCUUAACCCCGGGCCUGCUUCCGAUACGGGCUGACUAGAGGUAUGCAGGGGAGAACGGAAUUCCUGGUGUAGCGGUGAAAUGCGCAGAUAUCAGGAGGAACACCGGUGGCGAAGGCGGUUCUCUGGGCAUUAACUGACGCUGAGGAGCGAAAGCAUGGGGAGCAAACAGG
rnacentral:rRNA from 1 species